CCUACGGGAGGCAGCAGUGAGGAAUAUUGGUCAAUGGCCGGAAGGCUGAACCAGCCAAGCCGCGUGAAGGACGAAGGUGCCAAGCAUUGUAAACUUCUUUUGUCAAGGGACAAAAUCAGGCUCGAGAGCCUGACCGAGGGUACUUGAAGAAAAAGCAUCGGCUAACUCCGUGCCAGCAGCCGCGGUAAUACGGAGGAUGCGAGCGUUAUCCGGAUUGAUUGGGUUUAAAGGGUGCGUAGGCGGGCUGUUAAGUCAGCGGUAAAAGCCCGGGGCUAAACCCCGGCGAGCCGUUGAAACUGGCUGUCUUGAGAUGUCGAGAGGUAUGCGGAAUGCGCAGUGUAGCGGUGAAAUGCUUAGAUAUUGCGCAGAACUCCGAUUGCGAAGGCAGCAUACCGGCGGCGAUCUGACGCUGAGGCACGAAAGCGUGGGUAUCGAACAGGAUUAGAUACCCUUGUAGUC
rnacentral:rRNA from 1 species